rnacentral:rRNA from 1 species
GAGAGCUUGCUCUCUGAUUCAGCGGCGGACGGGUGAGUAAUGCCUAGGAAUCUGCCUGGUAGUGGGGGACAACGUCUCGAAAGGGACGCUAAUACCGCAUACGUCCUACGGGAGAAAGCAGGGGACCUUCGGGCCUUGCGCUAUCAGAUGAGCCUAGGUCGGAUUAGCUAGUUGGUGAGGUAAUGGCUCACCAAGGCGACGAUCCGUAACUGGUCUGAGAGGAUGAUCAGUCACACUGGAACUGAGACACGGUCCAGACUCCUACGGGAGGCAGCAGUGGGGAAUAUUGGACAAUGGGCGAAAGCCUGAUCCAGCCAUGCCGCGUGUGUGAAGAAGGUCUUCGGAUUGUAAAGCACUUUAAGUUGGGAGGAAGGGUUGUAGAUUAAUACUCUGCAAUUUUGACGUUACCGACAGAAUAAGCACCGGCUAACUCUGUGCCAGCAGCCGCGGUAAUACAGAGGGUGCAAGCGUUAAUCGGAAUUACUGGGCGUAAAGCGCGCGUAGGUGGUUUGUUAAGUUGGAUGUGAAAGCCCCGGGCUCAACCUGGGAACUGCAUUCAAAACUGACAAGCUAGAGUAUGGUAGAGGGUGGUGGAAUUUCCUGUGUAGCGGUGAAAUGCGUAGAUAUAGGAAGGAACACCAGUGGCGAAGGCGACCACCUGGACUGAUACUGACACUGAGGUGCGAAAGCGUGGGGAGCAAACAGGAUUGGAUACCCUGGUAGUCCACGCCGUAAACGAUGUCAACUAGCCGUUGGGAG